rnacentral:rRNA from 1 species
GACGAACGCUGGCGGCGUGCUUAACACAUGCAAGUCGAACGGAAAGGCCCUGCUUUUGUGGGGUGCUCGAGUGGCGAACGGGUGAGUAACACGUGAGUAACCUGCCCUUGACUUUGGGAUAACUUCAGGAAACUGGGGCUAAUACCGGAUAGGAGCUCCUGCUGCAUGGUGGGGGUUGGAAAGUUUCGGCGGUUGGGGAUGGACUCGCGGCUUAUCAGCUUGUUGGUGGGGUAGUGGCUUACCAAGGCUUUGACGGGUAGCCGGCCUGAGAGGGUGACCGGCGACAUGAGGCCUACGGGACGGCGCAGACUGCAACGGGAGGCAGCAGUGGGAAGUAUUGCGCAGUGGGCGGAAGCGUGAGGCGGCAGCGCCGCGUGCGUAAUGACGUCCUUCGGGUGAUAAACCACUUUGGCCUGAGACGAGGCGGGAGUGACGGUAAUGGGUAAAGAAGCACCGGCUAACUACGUG